rnacentral:misc_RNA from 1 species
GAUGAAGAACGCAGCGAAAUGCGAUAAGUAGUGUGAAUUGCAGAAUUCCGUGAAUCAUCGAAUCUUUGAACGCACAUUGCGCCUUCUGGUAUUCCGGAAGGCAUGCCUGUUCGAGAGUCAUUAACAACCGUUUCGAUCCCUUUCUUUCAGAAAUUACAAAGAGGAAAAGGGUUUGGUUAUGGUGGAGGAGGGAAAGGGAGCGUUUAGCCUGUAAAAAAAGAGGCUGUGUUCCGCCUCCCCCCCAAAAUUGUACAGGCGGUCGUGUGCGCCCACGCAUCGAGGUGUUGUAAAAGCUGCCACGGCACUUUUCACCUGUGCAGUGCGAGAUUGGCCAGCCGGUUUAAAAACCCCCCCAAACAAUCAAAGGUUGACCUCGGAUCAGGUAGGGAUACCCGCUGAACUUAAGCAUAUCAAUAAGCGGAGGA